UAGAUGUAAAGCUAUUUGUGAUAUUUAGCCAAAGGAUAUGAAAUCGAAGCAAUGGUCAGUGGAUUUUAUUGAACAGCCAGAGUUUUUAUAAUGAGCACUAGAACUAGAACCCUUCAGUAAUGGUAUUUUCUCUAAACUCUAAAAUUAUGAAGAAGAAACAAGUCCCCUGACAAUAAAUUCAAAUUAGGAAUAUAACUAAAAUGAAUGAGCCCCAAAACCAUCUCAAGGUGCUGGAAUGCAGCACCACCUUAGUUCAUGCUCAGAAACCACAAUCAAGUGUCUUACAUUACAGAGGAUCCAGAUUAAGAAAAUGUCAAGAAGAACUGGAGAUGGAUGAUAGCUGUAGAACAAGGUGAAUGUACUUAAUGCCGUGGAACUGGACACUUAAAAACAGGCCAAAAUGAUACAGACUUCACAUCUGGAGUUGCAGCAGCCAACUUGUGACCCUGAGAAACAAAAGUCACAUGCUAAGGAUGGUGAACCAAGGAACAAGACAGAGUUGGGGUCCUUCAGGACAUCAUACAGUCACUGUACCAGUUCUGGUAUGUUCAUGUCCAAAUUUCUUCUUAUGGGGGAAAAAUGAUUUUAGUUAAACCACUGUCAGAUUCUUGUUAAGUGCAGGCAAACCCAACCCUAUUGUAUGCAGAUGUACAUCAUUUCUUGAUCGAUUACCAUAAAUGUCACACCCUGGUCACAUGAUUUCAGCAUAUAUUCAUGUUAUUAAGUA
rnacentral:lncRNA from 1 species